GGGAAACAAAAAGCAGAGACAAGACCGUUUUUGCAAUCAACGUUACAGUUUUUUUUUAAUCUGGGGAUGGAUGGCUGAGUUGGACACGUUCUGGAUCCACACGACCUUAGAUGAAGCCAGCUGCAACCCGUAGAGUGGAGUCGUGGAGAGAGCCCCUCGCCCCUCAGCUAAACCAGAGGAGAGGAGCAGCAGGCCGAGGUUUUCCAAAAUGGAGAAGGCCAGACUCAAGUAGGCAAGCAGGCUCUCGGGGAACCUCGAGGCGAAGCGUGUCUUGUAGUACUUGAAGUAGGUGAACGCCACCAGGAACCUCGGCGCCGAGUGCAGGCCGAUGCAGAAGCGCCAUAUGUGGCACUCGGGACUCAGGUUGAUGGAGGCGCUGAUGGAC